UACAGAGGAGCCAAGCGUUGUCCGGAUUGACUGGGCGUAAAGCGCACGCAGGCGGACGCGCGCGUGGGGUGUGAAAUCUGGCCGCUUAACGGCCAGGCGCCAUCCCAUACGGCGCGUCUGGAGUGAUGCAGAGGUCGGUGGAAUUGCCGGUGUAGUGGUGAAAUGCGUAGAGAUCGGCAGGAACACCCAGGGGGAAACCAGCCGACUGGGCAUCUACUGACGCUGAGGUGCGACAGCGUGGGGAGCGAACGGG
rnacentral:rRNA from 1 species